rnacentral:rRNA from 1 species
GAUGAACGCUGGCGGCGUGCCUAAUACAUGCAAGUCGAGCGAACAGACGAGGAGCUUGCUCCUCUGACGUUAGCGGCGGACGGGUGAGUAACACGUGGAUAACCUACCUAUAAGACUGGGAUAACUUCGGGAAACCGGAGCUAAUACCGGAUAAUAUAUUGAACCGCAUGGUUCAAUAGUGAAAGACGGUUUUGCUGUCACUUAUAGAUGGAUCCGCGCCGCAUUAGCUAGUUGGUAAGGUAACGGCUUACCAAGGCAACGAUGCGUAGCCGACCUGAGAGGGGGAUCGGCCACACUGGAACUGAGACACGGUCCAGACUACUACGGGAGGCAGCAGUAGGGAAUCUUCCGCAAUGGGCGAAAGCUUGACGGAGCAACGCCGCGUGAGUGAUGAAGGUCUUCGGAUCGUAAAACUCUGUUAUUAGGGAAGAACAAAUGUGUAAGUAACUAUGCACGUCUUGACGGUACCUAAUCAGAAAGCCACGGCUAACUACGUG